rnacentral:rRNA from 1 species
AAAUUGAAGAGUUUGAUCAUGGCUCAGAUUGAACGCUGGCGGCAGGCCUAACACAUGCAAGUCGAACGGUAACAGGAAGCAGCUUGCUGUUUCGCUGACGAGUGGCGGACGGGUGAGUAAUGUCUGGGAAACUGCCUGAUGGAGGGGGAUAACUACUGGAAACGGUAGCUAAUACCGCAUAACGUCGCAAGACCAAAGAGGGGGACCUUCGGGCCUCUUGCCAUCGGAUGUGCCCAGAUGGGAUUAGCUAGUAGGUGGGGUAACGGCUCACCUAGGCGACGAUCCCUAGCUGGUCUGAGAGGAUGACCAGCCACACUGGAACUGAGACACGGUCCAGACUCCUACGGGAGGCAGCAGUGGGGAAUAUUGCACAAUGGGCGCAAGCCUGAUGCAGCCAUGCCGCGUGUAUGAAGAAGGCCUUCGGGUUGUAAAGUACUUUCAGC